rnacentral:rRNA from 1 species
GAUGAACGCUGACAGAAUGCUUAACACAUGCAAGUCUUUGGCGAAGCUGUGCUUGCACAGCCUAGCCAAGGCGGACGGGUGAGUAACGCGUAAGGAACUUGCCCUGCAGUCAGGGAUAACAGACGGAAACGACUGAUAAGACCUGGUAAAGUCAGGCGGACUCAUGUCCAGCCUGAUGAAAAGAGAUGCUGCAGGAGAGCCUUGCGUCCUAUUAGCUUGUUGGUGGGGUAACGGCCCACCAAGGCGAUGAUAGGUAGCCGGCCUGAGAGGGUGGACGGCCACAAGGGGACUGAGAUACGGCCCUUACUCCUACGGGAGGCAGCAGUGGGGAAUAUUGGACAAUGGGGGCAACCCUGAUCCAGCAAUUCUGCGUGCACGAUGAAGGUUUUCGGAUUGUAAAGUGCUUUCAGCAGGGAAGAAAAAAAUGACGGUACCUGCAGAAGAAGCGACGGCUAAAUACGUG